rnacentral:rRNA from 1 species
ACUGGGUCUAAUACUGGAUAUGACCUCCUGUCGCAUGGUGGGGGGUGGAAAGGGUUUGUACUGGUUGUGGAUGGGCUCACGGCCUAUCAGCUUGUUGGUGGGGUAAUGGCCUACCAAGGCGACGACGGGUAGCCGGCCUGAGAGGGUGACCGGCCACACUGGGACUGAGACACGGCCCAGACUCCUACGGGAGGCAGCAGUGGGGAAUAUUGCACAAUGGGCGCAAGCCUGAUGCAGCGACGCCGCGUGAGGGAUGACGGCCUUCGGGUUGUAAACCUCUUUCAGCACGGAAGAAGCGAAAGUGACGGUACGUGCAGAAGAAGCGCCGGCUAACUACGUGCCAGCAGCCGCGGUAAUACGUAGGGCGCAAGCGUUGUCCGGAAUUAUUGGGCGUAAAGAGCUCGUAGGCGGUUUGUCGCGUCUGCUGUGAAAGCCCGGGGCUUAACCCCGGGUGUGCAGUGGGUACGGGCAGACUUGAGUGCAGUAGGGGAGACUGGAACUCCUGGUGUAGCGGUGAAAUGCGCAGAUAUCAGGAAGAACACCGAUGGCGAAGGCAGGUCUCUGGGCUGUUACUGACGCUGAGGAGCGAAAGCAUGGGGAGCGAACAGGAUUAGAUACCCUGGUAGUCCAUGCCGUAAA